rnacentral:lncRNA from 1 species
AAUAUUUUUCAUCUCCAUCCCACAAUUGCCACCGCCACCGCCGCCACCAUUAACACAACAUCAUCACCAUCGUCGUCAACCACCAACACUAGCAUGCCACUGUCGAAUAUUGCCACCACUCCACUAGUAGCACCAACAUCACCACCGUAGACAACAUCACAACCACCACCACUCAACUACAAACACCACCACAAUUUGCAAACCACAAUCAUCACCGUCCACAAACAACCACCCAGAGAAAAGUAUCCACACACAGAUCAAAAACCAUCCAUAGAAAGAAAACCACCAACAACUUACACACUGACCAAAAAAACCUAAUUUUUACUCGUCGCUGCUUCGUCGAUCGACUAGAGGAAUUUCUCAUCGCUGCUUCGUCGAUCAACUUGAGGAAUUUCUCGUCACUUCUUCGCCAAUCGACUGAAGGAAUUGCUGCUCAGCGAUAAUACCAUCAACGAUGCGCACGACGGUCCACCCAUCGACUCCGCCGCCAUAUUGUGCACAACGACACUUUAGAGAAGAUGAGCGCUAUGACAACACCAUCACCGCUUCACGCGACGAUCAGCCCAUAGACUCC